AACGAACGCUGGCGGCAGGCUUAACACAUGCAAGUCGAGCGCCCCGCAAGGGGAGCGGCAGACGGGUGAGUAACGCGUGGGAACCUACCCUUUUCUACGGAAUAACGCAUGGAAACGUGUGCUAAUACCGUAUACGCCCUACGGGGGAAAGAUUUAUCGGAGAAGGCAGGGCCCGCGUUGGAUUAGCUAGUUGGUGGGGUAAAGGCCUACCAAGGCGACGAUCCAUAGCUGGUCUGAGAGGAUGAUCAGCCACAUUGGGACUGAGACACGGCCCAAACUCCUACGGGAGGCAGCAGUGGGGAAUAUUGGACAAUGGGCGCAAGCCUGAUCCAGCCAUGCCGCGUGAGUGAAGAAGGCCCUAGGGUUGUAAAGCUCUUUCACCGGAGAAGAUAAUGACGGUAUCCGGAGAAGAAGCCCCGGCUAACUUCGUGCCAGCCGCCGCGGUAAUAC
rnacentral:rRNA from 1 species